rnacentral:rRNA from 1 species
AUUGAACGCUGGCGGCAUGCCUUACACAUGCAAGUCGAACGGCAGCACGGGGGCAACCCUGGUGGCGAGUGGCGAACGGGUGAGUAAUGCAUCGGAACGUGCCCAGUAGUGGGGGAUAACUAGUCGAAAGAUUAGCUAAUACCGCAUACGACCUACGGGUGAAAGCGGGGGAUGCAGCACUUAAUGUUUUGGGAUGGCUACUUGUGGCCGCCUCGGGACAGUCUCAGGUGAGAACAUUAAGUGCUGCACCUCGCGCUAUUGGAGCGGCCGAUGUCUGAUUAGCUAGUUGGCGGGUAAAANCCCACCAAGGCGACGAUCAGUAGCUGGUCUGAGAGGACGACCAGCCACACUGGG